AACGAACGCUGGCGGCAUGCCUAACACAUGCAAGUCGAACGAGACCUUAGGAAGUGCUGGCGCUCGGGUGCGUCACGUGGCGGACCGUGCCCUUAGGCUCGGGAAAACUCCUUGUCAGGGGUGCUAAUACCGGGUAACGUCCUCUGAUCAAAGAUUCAUCGCCUUUGGAAGGGCACGCGUUGUAUUAGCCAGGCGGUAGGGUAAAAGCCUACCAAGGCGACGAUAGUUAGCUGGUCUGAGAGGCUGAUCAGCCACACUGAGACUGAGACACGGCCCAGACUCCUGCGGGAGGCAGCAGUGGGGAAUAUAGGACAACGGGCGAAAUCAUGAUCCAGCUAGGCUGCGUGAGUGAUGAAGGCCUUAGAGUUGUAAAGCUCUUUUACCCGGGAUGAUAAUGACAGUACCGAGAGAAUAAGCUCCGGCUAACUCCGUG
rnacentral:rRNA from 1 species